rnacentral:lncRNA from 1 species
CUCCAGCUAAUGAGGAGCUGUGAUUUCUUAUACUUCAAGGCAAAACAAGACAGGGAUGGGGGCUCGCUCAGCCGAGUGUAUGUCUGCAUGGGGAUGCCAUGUCCCUUUUAGCAGAGUCUCUGCUUUAUAGCACAGGCUGGCCUAGAACUCAUGGUGAUCCUUCUGCCUGGGUUUCGAAAUGUUGGAUUCGAGGUCUGAGCAUCUACAGUUGGCUAGUGGUGAACUCCCGACCAAAAGCUCACCCAGCUACCUCAUUCCUAGGUUUGCACUGUGUGGGCAGUGCAGUGGGUAUCAUGCUCCCUAUGUCCUGUUAGCCAUAAGCAACCAUGACUACAUCAUGGUGGCUGCAGCAAGACA